ACCUACGGGGGGCAGCAGUAGGGAAUUUUCGUCAAUGGGCGCAAGCCUGAACGAGCAAUGCCGCGUGAACGAGGAAGGUCUUCGGAUCGUAAAGUUCUGUUGAAGGGGAAAAAGAGCGGAGAGAGGAAAUGCUUUCUGAUUGAUAUUACCCUUCGAGGAAGUCACGGCUAACUACGUGCCAGCAGCCGCGGUAAUACGUAGGUGGCGAGCGUUAUCCGGAAUGAUUGGGCGUAAGGGUGCGUAGGCGGCCUGCUAAGUCUGGAGUGAAAGGUACCGGCUCAACCGGUACAGGCUCUGGAAACUGG
rnacentral:rRNA from 1 species